GUAGGUGGCAAGCGUUGUCCGGAUUUACUGGGCGUAAAGAGCGCGCAGGCGGUCAGGUAAGUCGAAUGUGAAAGCCCCCGGCUCAACUGGGGAAGGUCAUUCGAUACUGCUUGACUUGAAGAUGGGAGAGGGAAGCGGAAUUUCCGGUGUAGUGGUGAAAUGCGUAGAUAUCGGAAGGAACACCAGUGGCGAAGGCGGCUUUCUGGCCCAUUCUUGACGCUGAGGCGCGAAAGCUAGGGGAGCGAACGGGGGAUUAGAUACCCCGGUAGUCCUAGCCGUAAACGAUGAACACUAGAUGUUGGUGGUAUCAACCCCCGCCAGUGUCGUAGCUAACGCAUUAAGUGUUCCGCCUGGGGAGUACGGCCGCAAGGCUA
rnacentral:rRNA from 1 species